rnacentral:rRNA from 1 species
GAAAGAUGGCUUUGGCUAUCACUCUGGGAUGGACCUGCGGUGCAUUAGCUAGUUGGUAAGGUAACGGCUUACCAAGGCGAUGAUGCAUAGCCGAGUUGAGAGACUGAUCGGCCACAAUGGAACUGAGACACGGUCCAUACUCCUACGGGAGGCAGCAGUAGGGAAUCUUCCACAAUGGGCGCAAGCCUGAUGGAGCAACACCGCGUGAGUGAAGAAGGGUUUCGGCUCGUAAAGCUCUGUUGUUGGAGAAGAACGUGCGUGAGAGUAACUGUUCACGCAGUGACGGUAUCCAACCAGAAAGUCACGGCUAACUACGUGCCAGCAGCCGCGGUAAUACGUAGGUGGCAAGCGUUAUCCGGAUUUAUUGGGCGUAAAGCGAGCGCAGGCGGUUGCUUAGGUCUGAUGUGAAAGCCUUCGGCUUAACCGAAGAAGUGCAUCGGAAACCGGGCGACUUGAGUGCAGAAGAGGACAGUGGAACUCCAUGUGUAGCGGUGGAAUGCGUAGAUAUAUGGAAGAACACCAGUGGCGAAGGCGGCUGUCUGGUCUGCAACUGACGCUGAGGCUCGAAAGCAUGGGUAGCGAACAGGAUUAGAUACCCUGGUAGUCCAUGCCGUAAACGAUGAGUGCUAGGUGUUGGAGGGUUUCCGCCCUU